AACAGACUGAGGAUGUUGCUUAUAGGAUCACUGCUAAGGCCUCGGAUGUUGCGCAUACUAUGUAUGCUGUUCUUAAUUAUAUAUCGGUUAUGGUGGUGAAGAUAGUGGUCAUCAGCCAUAUUUUAUCUGGGAUUUCAGCUGUGUGACCCGGAGGAGGAAGAGCAAGCUAGUCAUGCUGAAAAGGAGAGGGAGUUGCUCAGACAUUUCCAUGAACAAUCUUUGAGGGCAAAGCUGAAAAACGAAAAGAAAGGUAGAGGCUUUUCUCAA